ACUAAACAUUGGGUUUAAUAAAGUAUUUCUCAAAGUGGAACAGUGAAUUUUUUUUUUCAAUUUUUUACAAAUGGUCAUUUUUGGGAAAAUUUAUCACAUCAAAGUAACAGUUAAGAUAUAAUUGUGCUCAACCAAGCCACUUAUCUGCACUACAGAAUAGUACUUGAAAGCAAUCCUAAAGUCAGAUUAAAACCAUUUUGAGAGACAAGACUUGUGUUUAUAGCUAUCUCAAAAGAGGUAGCUUUCCUUCCAGUCAAAACUCAAUUAAGAUUGACUAAUUUAAUCUUUUUUUUCCUUGUCAUAUCUUCAGUUCAAAACACUAUGAUCACUGGUAAUACGGUCUGUAUCUUGUUUGAUCUGGAUGAUGCGGUCCAGGUAGUGGGGUUUGAGAAGGCGGGCCCUGCAUUCGUGGAGGAGGAGGUGGCCCUCUUGGUGCAGGCCAUAUACCAGGACUCAUUCCUCCUGGUUGUGUAAAUGGAGGGCUCAGAGUUCCUUGGUCUUCAGUAAACUGGGGUAAAGAGUUAGGAUUGUAAUGGUGAGGAGGGGGUGCAGUUACAGGUGGACCACCAUGCUGAGGUGGCAUCUGGGCAAUAAUAUGUCCAGGGGGAGGGGUUAUUGGGGGUGGAGCAGAGGUCAUUGGUGGGGGUGGUGGUUCUCUAGCACCUGAACUUGAGUCAUCCUGAAUAGGGACUGUUAUUAAAUUGCUGU
rnacentral:lncRNA from 1 species